UUGAUUACGUCCCUGCCCUUUGUACACACCGCCCGUCGCUGCCCGGGACUGAGCCAUUUCGAGGAAUUUGGGGACCGUUGAUUUAAUUUUUCUAAAUUACUUUGAUGGAAACCAAUUUAAUCGCAGUGGCUUGAACCGGGCAAAAGUCGUAACAAGGUAGCUGUAGGUGAACCUGCUGCUGGAUCAUU
rnacentral:rRNA from 1 species